UUUCCAUUCUCUUGCCAAUUGCCAUCCUUCAUCACCCACCCAUACACUCACGCGCUAUACGUCAUAUUGGAUUUUUCUUUUUUCUCUUUUAUUUAUUUUUAAUACAGUCAAUCAUCAACGUUUCACUUUCGGCCACCGCCCUAAUUUCUCUUCCGACGGACUUGCAGUCCUGCUUUUCUAUCGUGUCCUCUCAAUGUUGACGUCUGUGCCAGAAGUAGCUUAUAGGUUCAUGCCCUUUUCUUUAUCAUUUAUGGGAUGAUAUUUUUGGAAGUGCUAAUGAAAGGUUCUUCCUCGAUUUUGAUGGGUUCUCUGAUUCUAUUUAUGGUAUCGCUUACGGAUUUUGCCCGGGUGGGUGAUGGAACGACAUCGAAUACCAGACGGCUCUUCGUUCCUCCUGGAAAUAAUUUUUAUUUCUCAUCAUCUCACUUCGAUCUUGUUGCCUCUCUCUUGUUCAUCUUUUUCUUUCUUCAGCUUUUCAUCCCUUCAUUUUUCUCUCUAGAAAGUGUAAAGUUGCAUUCUUUUGUUGUUAUUUUUCUCACUUUUCGUAAAUUUAAAUACAUGUUUUGUGCUAGACCUACAUUUGUUUUUGUUUUAUUUUAAAGUCUAAAUUAUAUGCCUUGAGUUUCGAUUUUUUUUACUCCAGUUUUACUGCCUUCACUAUUUUACAGGUUAUUUGCCUUCUUUUAUCAAUUCUUUGGUGAUGAUCUUCAUAAAUGCCAAUGGAAGGUUCCCUCUAUGUUACCGGAAAGUUAUCUUUCUCUCUCUAUGAUUGUAUAUAUAUGUAUGUUUAUUUUUGUUUUACUUUUUGUGGAUAAAGGU